GAUGAACGCUGGCGGCGUGCUUAACACAUGCAAGUCGAACGGGAUCCAUCAAGCUUGCUUGGUGGUGAGAGUGGCGAACGGGUGAGUAAUGCGUGACCGACCUGCCCCAUGCUCCGGAAUAGCUCCUGGAAACGGGUGGUAAUGCCGGAUGUUCCACAUGAUCGCAUGUGAUUGUGGGAAAGAUUCUAUCGGCGUGGGAUGGGGUCGCGUCCUAUCAGCUUGUUGGUGAGGUAACGGCUCACCAAGGCUUCGACGGGUAGCCGGCCUGAGAGGGCGACCGGCCACAUUGGGACUGAGAUACGGCCCAGACUCCUACGGGAGGCAGCAGUGGGGAAUAUUGCACAAUGGGCGCAAGCCUGAUGCAGCGACGCCGCGUGAGGGAUGGAGGCCUUCGGGUUGUAAACCUCUUUUGU
rnacentral:rRNA from 1 species